rnacentral:rRNA from 1 species
AUUGAACGCUGACGGCAGGCCUAACACAUGCAAGUCGAACGAGUGGCGGACGGGUGAGUAAUGGCUGGGAAACUGACUGAUGGAGGGGGAUAACUACUGAAAAAGGUAGCUAAUACCGCAUACCAUCGGAUGUGCCCAGAUGGGUUUAACUUGUUGGUGGGGAAGCGGCUCAGCAAGGCGACGAUCCCUAGCUGGUCCGAGAGGAUGACCAGCCACACUGGAACUGAGACACGGUCCAGACUCCUACGGGAGGCAGCAGUGGGGAAUAUUGCACAAUGGGCGCAAGCCUGAUGCAGCCAUGCCGCGUGUAUGAAGAAGGCCUUCGGGUUGUAAAGUACUUUCAGCGGGGAGGCGUUACCCGCAGAAGAAGCACCGGCUAACUCCGUGCCAGCAGCCGCGGUAAUAC